ACCAUCUAUCCGCCAGAGAACUACAAGCAAAAUACUUAAAACUCAAAGGACUUGGCGGCAUUCCACAUCAACCUAGAGGAGCCCGUCCAAUAAUCGAAAACACGCGCUCAACCCUACCAUUUUUGGCCACUCCAGCCUAUAUACCGCCGUCGUCAGCUAACCUUGUGAAAGAAAAGUAGUAAGCACAAUAACCCUCGCUAAAACGUCAGGUCAAGGUGUAGCUAAUAAAGUGGUUGCGAUAGGCUACAUUUUCUAACAUAGAAAAUAACGAACAUUACAAUGAAAUCUUGUAAUAGAAGGCGAAUUUAGUAGUAAAAUGAGUAAAUGAUCCUCAUUUUAACGCCGCUCCGGAAUGCGCACACACCGCCCGUCACCCUCCUCGAACAACUAGAUGAGGUAAGUCGUAACAUGGUAAGCGUACUGGAAAGUGCGCUUGGCUUU
rnacentral:rRNA from 1 species